rnacentral:rRNA from 1 species
ACCCGCUGAAUUUAAGCAUAUAUGUGAGUUGAUGAGGACACAUCAAUUGUAGUUUCCACCAGUCAUGGCGAAUGAACAUGGACUGGCUCAGCGUGGUAACCGGGGCCUGUGGCCCUGACUUGUAGGCUCGAGGUGCGUUGCCAGCAUGAGGUUGCUGAUGGGCACCUUCUGGAAAGGAGUAUCAGUGAGGGUGAGAACCCCAUGUGUCAGUUGUAGCCCCUCGUGUGCGGCAUGCGCUGCAGGAGUCACACUUCUCAGGCCUGUAACACGAAUUGGGUGGCAACACCCAUCUGCGGCUGAAUAAUCACCCAAUGUCGAGAGCAAACACGUACCCUGGGGGGGGAAGGUGAACACUGACUUUGUGAAGAGAGUUAACAGUGCCUGAACUUGUUGAACGUAAAACAUACUACGUCAAAGUAAGUUGGUGGGCUUGCUUCGGGUGACAACCUCACCAUACUUGUGCAAGCAGUGGGCAGGUCGAUUGGUGGUGCCAGAGUGGUUCUCGCCUUGUCUGUCAGUUGGUGUGUGUGUGUGUGUGUGUGUGUGUGUGUGGGUGUGUGUGUGUGUGUGUGUGUGUGUGUGUGCGCGCGUGCGGGGCAGAAGUUUGAGUGUUGCAGUCUUAUGGCGGGUGGGCGAGCCUGAUAGCUUACAUCUCUGCACGUGCACUUGGUGGCCAGAUGGUCACUAUGGCCCGUCUUGAAACACGGACCAAGGGGUCUAAACAUGUGCAAGCUGGUUGGUGCAAACCCUGGUUGGGCAGUAAAAGCAAAUCCUGGUAUCCAUGUGUCAGUGACCGACCCAUCAGUUAAGGCUGAGUUCGAAUAUGAGGGUGAGAGCCAGGACCCGGCAGAUGGUGAACUAUGCCUGUGAAGAUCAAACGCAUGGGGAAACCCUGAUGGAGGCCCACCGUGGUACUGACGUGCAACUCGUUCACCAUACAUGGGCAUGGGGCGAAAUACUAAUCGAACCAUCUGGUAGCUGGUUACCUCCGAAGUUUCCCUCAGGAUAGCUGCAACUGGACAUAUCCACCAGGUAAAACGUAUGUCUAGAGGAAGUGGGGGGGGGGGGCAUGCUGCCCUUGGCCUACUCUCACACUUUAACUUGGUGAGGUUCAGUGGUUGCGUGUGUGAUCCACUUAGCAAGUUGCAGCUCCAUGUGGACCAGUGAUGAGGGAUGAACCUAACAUCGGGUGAAGGCACUUCUCUGAUUGCCUAGCAUAUGCCAUAAAAGGUGUUGGUUCAUUUCAACAGUAGGGCCGUGGUCAUGGACGUUGGAAGUUGCUACGGAGUGUGUAGCAACUCACCUGCCGAAUGGGCUGGUCCUGAACAUGGAUGGUGCCCACACGAGUGGCCAGCUCCCAAACCAUCGAACAACCAUGUUGGACCAAUGCGUAGAAAGUCACAGAAGGGUUUGUGACGAACAUUCUUGGUGUGAGCCUGGGCGGAUCAGCCCAAGUGCAGAUCUUGGUGGUAGUAGC